rnacentral:rRNA from 1 species
UACAACGAAACUGCGAAUGGCUCGGUAAAACAGCUAUAAUUUAAUCGGGGAUAAUACCACCGGAUAACCGUGGUAAGGCUAGAGCUAAUACGUGUUACCAUAGGCGGGGUUAUUCUCGCGGUAUAACGUUAUUAGAUACAACCCAGUUUUACUGGUGAUUCAUACCUUUUUUCUGAUCGCACUUUGUGCGACACCCCGAUUAAAUUUCUGACCUAUCAACUAUGAUGGUAAGGUAGUGUCUUAUCAUGGUUGUGACGGGUAACGGACCGUGGGUGCGGGAUUCCGGAGAGGGAGCCUGAGAAACGGCUACUACAUCCAAGGAAGGCAGCAGGCGCGUAACUUACCCAAUCCGAACUUCGGGAGGUAGUGACAAAAAAUAUCAAUAGGGGGACCAAUGGUCUUCCUAAUUGGAAUGAAACCAAUGUAAAAAACUCAUUGAGGAUCCAGCAGAGGGCAAGUCUGGUGCCAGCAGCCGCGGUAAUUCCAGCUCUGUAAGCGUAUACCAAAGUUGUUGCAGUUAAAACGUUCGUAGUCAAAUGUUGGCGUGUGUUUACUGAUGAUCCGCAAGGAUUCAGAUGUAUCACCGCCUUUGUGGGUGAGGGUAUGGUGGUGCUUCAUUGCAUUGCCAUAUUCUCUCCACCAUUUACUGUGAAAAAAUUAGAGUGUUCAAAGCCAGCGAUUGCCCUGAAUACAUUAGCAUGGAAUAAUAGAAUAGGACCUGGUUCUGUUUUAUUGGUUUUCCGGUUUCGGGUAAUGAUUAAUAGGGACGGUUCGGGGGCAUUAGUAUUCCAGGGCGAGGGGUGAAAUCCGUAGACCCUUGGAAGACUUCCAGAUGCGAAAGCGAUUGCCUAGGACGUUUUCUUUGAUCAUGAACGAAAGUAAGGGGAUCGAAGACGAUCAGAUACCGUCGUAGUCUUUACUAUAAACGAUGAGGACUGGGGAUCGGACGUGGCCUUUUUUGGUACGUUCGGCACCCUCCGGGAAACCAAAGUAUUUGCUUUCUGGGGGGAGUAUGGUCGCAAGUCUGAAACUUAAAGGAAUUGACGGAAGGGCAUCACCGGGUGUGGAGCCUGCGGCUUAAUUUGACUCAACACGGGAAAACUUACCAGGGUAUGACAUAGGAAUGAUUGACAGAUUGAGAGCUCUUUCUUGAUUCUAUGGUUGGUG